UACGGAGGAUGCGAGCGUUAUCCGGAUUUAUUGGGUUUAAAGGGUGCGUAGGCGGGCUUUUAAGUCAGCGGUAAAAUGUCCGGGCUCAACCCGGGCCGGCCGUUGAAACUGGGGAUCUUGAGUGGGCGAGAAGUAUGCGGAAUGCGUGGUGUAGCGGUGAAAUGCAUAGAUAUCACGCAGAACUCCGAUUGCGAAGGCAGCAUACCGGCGCCCGACUGACGCUGAGGCACGAAAGCGUGGGGAUCGAACAGG
rnacentral:rRNA from 1 species